AUUGAACGCUGGCGGCAGGCCUAACACAUGCAAGUCGAGCGAGCGGCGGACGGGUGAGUAAUGUAUGGGAAUCUGCCCGAUAGAGGGGGAUAACUACUGGAAACGGUGGCUAAUACCGCAUACUAUCGGAUGCACCCAGAUUGGAUUAGCUAGUAGGUGGGGUAAAGGCUCACCUAGGCGACGAUCUCUAGCUGGUCUGAGAGGAUGAUCAGCCACACUGUGAAUGAGACACGGCCCAGAGUCAUGCGGGAGGCAGCAGUGGGGAAUAUUGCACAAUGGGCGCAAGAGUGAUGCAGCCAUGCCGCGUGUAUGAAGAAGGCCUUCGGGUUGUAAAGUACUUUCAGCGGGGAGGCGUUACCCGCAGAAGAAGCACCGGCUAACUCCGUGCCAGCCGCCGCGGUAAUUC
rnacentral:rRNA from 1 species